GCCUAGUUAGCUUAGUUGGUAGUGCGUCUGCCUUGUAAGCGCUAGGCCGCGGGUUCGAUUCCCGCCCGGCA
rfam:Asian citrus Psyllid, Diaphorina citri - Florida Strain, whole genome shotgun sequence.